rnacentral:rRNA from 13 species
GAAAUCGCUGUUAAGAUGCAGUGUAUCCGCGGCUAGACGGAAAGACCCCGUGAACCUUUACUAUAGCUUCGUAUUGACUUUGGAUAAGUAAUGUGUAGGAUAGGUGGGAGACAUUGAAGUGGCGUCGCUAGGCGUUGUGGAGUCAUCCUUGAAAUACCACCCUUUGCUUAUCUAGAGUCUAACUCAGAGAUGAGGACAGUGCUUGGUGGGUAGUUUGACUGGGGUGGUCGCCUCCAAAAGAGUAACGGAGGCUUCUAAAGGUUCCCUCAAUACGGUUGGCAAUCGUGUGUAGAGUGCAAUGGCAUAAGGGAGCUUGACUGAGAGACCUACAAGUCGAUCAGGUACGAAAGUAGAGCAUAGUGAUCCGGUG